GGUCAGCUGACACAUCCCUGCCAAUCUCCGGCAGACCCUCCGUCCCAGACCCUCCUACUUCCUGGACAGCAUCCAUGUUGAAGGCAUCUUCAACAUGAAUGCUGUCCAGGAGGUGGGAGGGUCUGGGAGGGAGGGUCUGCCGGAGAUUGGCAGGGAUGUGUCAGCUG